UGGGGAAUAUUGCGCAAUGGAGGAAACUCUGACGCAGCAACGCCGCGUGAGUGAAGAAGGUUUUCGGAUCGUAAAACUCUGUCUUUGGGGACGAAACAAAUGACGGUACCCAAGGAGGAAGCCCCGGCUAACUACGUGCCAGCAGCCGCGGUAAUACGUAGGGGGCAAGCGUUGUCCGGAAUUACUGGGCGUAAAGAGUACGUAGGCGGUUUGUUAAGUUCGGUGUGAUAGUUUGCGGCUCAACUGUAAAAGUGCAUUUAAAACUGGCAGACUUGAGUCUCUGAGAGGUAAGCGGAAUUCCUAGUGUAGCGGUGAAAUGCGUAGAGAUUAGGAAGAACACCGGUGGCGAAGGCGGCUUACUGGACGAGUACUGACGCUCAGGUACGAAAGCGUGGGGAGCAAACA
rnacentral:rRNA from 1 species